CUCAGGGAGGUAGUGACAAGAAAUAACAACACUGGAAAUUUUAUUUCUAGUGAUUGGAAUGAUGGGAAUUUAAACCCCUUUCAGAGUAACAAUUGGAGGGCAAGUCUGGUGCCAGCAGCCGCGGUAAUUCCAGCUCCAAUAGCGUAUAUUAAAGUUGUUGCAGUUAAAAAGCUCGUAGUUGGAUGUCUGCUGGAAGCAAUCAGUCCGCCCUAUUUGUGGGGUGUGCACUUGAUGAAUUCUGGCAUUUUUGUCCCAAUAUUAUGAUGUAGAAUGUGGGACACAGAGUGUUAUUGGGCGAAAGUUCAAUAGCAUGUCUGUGUUCCGAUUCUUAUUAUAUUGGGAUACUGUUACUUUGAGAAAAUUAGAGUGUUUGAAGCAGGCUUUGAAUUGCCUUGAAUACUGCAGCAUGGAAUAACAAUAUAGGAUUUCGGUUCUAUUUUGUUGGUUUCUAGGACUGAAAUAAUGAUUAAUAGGGACAGUUGGAGGCAUUCGUAUUUAACUGUCAGAGGUGAAAUUCUUAGAUUUGUUAAAGACGAACUACUGCGAAAGCAUUUGCCAAAGAUGUUUUCAUUAAUCAAGAACGAAAGUUAGGGGCUCGAAGACGAUCAGAUACCGUCGUAGUCUUAACCAUAAACUAUGCCGACUAGAGAUAGGAAAAUGCCAUUUUGCUGACCU
rnacentral:rRNA from 1 species